GAUGAUGUAAGCAAUGAUGUCAUAAAUUAUGGCGAAAAGACUAUUUUACCCUUACUCUACCAAACUUAUAAAUAGAAGCUCAUUCCUUAAUUAUUUUUCACGAAUUCACUAAAGCUUUAGAGUGAGAAAGAAUAGAGAGAAUAAGAGAGAAAGAAGAAGAAUCUUCUGUUACUACAAUAUUGCGGUAUCCAAUUUCCUACUAAGGUAAGGGGUAUUAUUUCUUUUUUAUUCAUGAAGAGAACUUCUGUUAUUCCAUUAUUUAUUAUUCUGUUGGAAUAACCUGUAUACGCGGGCUACCCUAUACUUGGUGAAAUUCUUCUGUUAUUUCAUUCUUUAUCAUUAUGUUGGAAUAACCUGUCUAUGCGAAGUACCGCAUACAUGGUGAAAUUCUUCUGUUAUUCCAUUUUUUAUUAUUCUGUUGGAACAUCCUGUCGGUGCGUUACGCGUGACCUGGUUCCAUUAUUUAUUAUUCUGUUGUAAUAUUAUGUCUGUGCGUUUCCGCAUGACCUGGUUCCAUUAUUUAUUAUUCUGUUGAAAUAUCAUGUCUGUGCAUUUGCGCAUGACCUGGUUCCGUUAUUUAUUAUUCUAUUGGAAUAACCUGUCUGUGCGGUUUAUCGCAUGCCCGGUGAUUUCUUUUGUUAUCCCAUUCUUUAUUAUACUCAGUUGGUUAAAGUUUUGACUUCUAUACUCCAUGAAAUUAGUGGAAUAUCUUUGAUAUUUGCGCUUCAUCCAGUAUCUUUUCAUGGAAAUAUUCUUCUGAGCAUUCUUG
rnacentral:lncRNA from 1 species